AGUGACUGUGAUGAGUCUCUACAGACCUGUAAUGAUUUGCGGAUAUGAUCGCAGAUCUUAUGAACAUCUAAGGGACUGAGUUGCU
rfam:Morus notabilis contig10677, whole genome shotgun sequence.